UACGUAGGUGGCAAGCGUUGUCCGGAUUUACUGGGCGUAAAGAGCGCGCAGGCGGUCGUUCAAGUCGCGUGUGAAAGCCCCCGGCUCAACUGGGGAGGGUCACGCGAUACUGAUCGACUCGAAGGCAGGAGAGGGAAGUGGAAUUCCCGGUGUAGUGGUGAAAUGCGUAGAUAUCCGGAGGAACACCAGCGGCGAAGGCGGCUUUCUGGUCCGAUUCUGACGCUGAGGCGCGAAAGCGUGGGGAGCGAUCCGG
rnacentral:rRNA from 1 species